GCAGGUGCGAAAGCAGGUCAUAGUGAUCCGGUGGUUCUGAAUGGAAGGGCCAUCGCUCAACGGAUAAAAGGUACUCCGGGGAUAACAGGCUGAUACCGCCCAAGAGUUCAUAUCGACGGCGGUGUUUGGCACCUCGAUGUCGGCUCAUCACAUCCUGGGGCUGAAGUAGGUCCCAAGGGUAUGGCUGUUCGCCAUUUAAAGUGGUACGCGAGCUGGGUUUAGAACGUCGUGAGACAGUUCGGUCCCUAUCUGCCGUGGGCGCUGGAGAACUGAGGGGGGCUGCUCCUAGUACGAGAGGACCGGAGUGGACGCAUCACUGGUGUUCGGGUUGUCAUGCCAAUGGCACUGCCCGGUAGCUAAAUGCGGAAGAGAUAAGUGCUGAAAGCAUCUAAGCACGAAACUUGCCCCGAGAUGAGUUCUCCCUGACUCCUUGAGAGUCCUGAAGGAACGUUGAAGACGACGACGUUGAUAGGCCGGGUGUGUAAGCGCAGCGAUGCGUUGAGCUAACCGGUACUAAUGAACCGUGAGGCUUAACCUUACAACGCCGAAGGUGUUU
rnacentral:rRNA from 1 species